CACCGCGUCGCGGGCGGCGUCGCGCGCCGCCGUGUCGAGGCGGCCGUCGGCCACGUCGGUCGCGUCCACCGCGGUGAC
rnacentral:tRNA from 1 species